CAUUAUAACACUUUCAGUAUAUUUACUUUCUCAAUUUUAUUAGACUUAGAAUAAUUUUAAAAUUAGAAUGCUUUCUGAUGGAAAAAGAAAGUAGGGUGGUAGAGUGUGGUUAGUCUGAGAUUAAGGAGGCAUUCAUAUAUUAUCUAUUCUGUGAUAAUAAUUGUGAUCAAAAGUUGAUAGUCUUCUGAUCAGCAAACAUAACACUGGAAAUAUCUUUUAAAAACUGCAGUCUCCUCUUCCCGCCAUCUUGGCUCCUGUGGAGGCCUGCUGGGGACAGGACUUCUAAAAGGAACUAUGUCUGGAAGGCUGUGGUCCAAGGCCAUUUUUGCUGGCUAUAAGCGGGGUCUCCGGAACCAAAGGGAGCACACAGCUCUUCUUAAGAUUGAAGGUGUUUACGCCCGAGAUGAAACAGAAUUCUAUUUGGGCAAGAGAUGCGCUUAUGUAUACAAAGCAAAGAACAACACAGUGACUUCUGGCGGCAAACCGAACAAAACCAGAGUCAUCUGGGGAAAGGUAACUUGGGCCCAUGGAAACAGUGGCAUGGUUCGUGCCAAAUUCCGAAGCAAUCUUCCUGCUAAGGCCAUUGGACACAGAAUCCGAGUGAUGCUGUACCCCUCAAGGAUUUAAACUAACGAAAAAUCAAUAAAUAAACGUGGAUUUGUGCUCUUGUAUUUUUGUUAAGUGGAUUAAAAAACUUAAUACCUUAAAAAA